CACAUACACAUACAGUGUUCUGGAAAAGCAGCCGUGAAGUGUUACUAGAACUGAGGCCUCUUCUGGGAUGUUGCUAAGGAAAGUUCACAAUCUCGGGCUGCUAAUUAAAAUUACUUCUACUUAUUGCGCAUAAAUUAGGUCCUAAUAAGCUGCAGUUGGAUACAAAGAAAACAGCACUGACAGCAGAGAGAAAAUCAAAAUGGAAUCUUUCAUGUAAUUAGCAUACACAGUCCACACAGGGCACACAGAAGACGGGUGAGCGGUGGAGAGCGAAGUCUUUGCAGGCAUUGAAAGACAAGCCCCGCAGGCUUUUGAGCUCUGACCAGUCCAGAAGUGAAGGACAAGUGCCCAGGAGAGAUUAUGAUUUCAAGCCAGAAUGAUCUAGUGAGAGAGAGAGAGAGAUGCAGGAAGUCUGAAUAUAUCCAUGUGUUGGAUUUUCAAAAACGUCAGAGGCCCAGUGGGACUUCACGGAGAAGGCAAAUUCCGGGUUGCCAGUUCUUGGAAGUUGUCCUGUUCACCAGCAAGCCAGAGGGGAAACUUACUGGGCCGCCCCUCGAUGCCUUCCAGCACACGCCGGCCUCCUCGGAGGCGCCAAGGGUGUCCCGCCAGACCGCCUGCUGCGUGACAGGGAGGAGGGGCCAUCUGCCGCUUGCACAUCUGAGCAUUACAGCGUUUGAAUGAGGGCACGAUGACUUCCACAAACGCCGUGAAUGCUUCUUGUGUGAAGCAGCUGCUUUCACUUUGUUGAAAGGAAACCGUUUUUCAGCGUUCCAAUGUACUCGGCCAGAUUUUCGCCGGGAGGAUGAUGAGC
rnacentral:lncRNA from 1 species